rnacentral:rRNA from 1 species
ACUCCUACGGGAGGCAGCAGUAGGGAAUCUUCCACAAUGGGCGCAAGCCUGAUGGAGCAACACCGCGUGAGUGAAGAAGGGUUUCGGCUCGUAAAGCUCUGUUGUUAAAGAAGAACACGUAUGAGAGUAACUGUUCAUACGUUGACGGUAUUUAACCAGAAAGUCACGGCUAACUACGUGCCAGCAGCCGCGGUAAUACGUAGGUGGCAAGCGUUAUCCGGAUUUAUUGGGCGUAAAGAGGGUGCAGGCGGUUUUCUAAGUCUGAUGUGAAAGCCUUCGGCUUAACCGGAGAAGUGCAUCGGAAACUGGAUAACUUGAGUGCAGAAGAGGGUAGUGGAACUCCAUGUGUAGCGGUGGAAUGCGUAGAUAUAUGGAAGAACACCAGUGGCGAAGGCGGCUACCUGGUCUGCAACUGACGCUGAGACUCGAAAGCAUGGGUAGCGAACAGGAUUAGAUACACUGGUAGGAUAGCG